rnacentral:rRNA from 1 species
UCUACGGGAGGCUGCAGUGGGGAAUAUUGGACAAUGGGCGAAAGCCUGAUCCAGCCAUGCCGCGUGUGUGAAGAAGGCCUUCGGGUUGUAAAGCACUUUCAGUGGGGAAGAAAGCCUUGGGGCUAAUACCCUCGAGGAAGGACAUCACCCACAGAAGAAGCACCGGCUAACUCCGUGCCAGCAGCCGCGGUAAUACGGAGGGUGCGAGCGUUAAUCGGAAUUACUGGGCGUAAAGCGCGCGUAGGCGGUCUGAUAAGCCGGUUGUGAAAGCCCCGGGCUCAACCUGGGAGCGGCAUCCGGAACUGUAAGGCGAGGGUGGAGGAGAGGAUGGUAGAAUUCCCGCUGUGGAGGGGAGUGUGGGUGUGAUCGGGCUGAAUACUAGGGGGGGAGGCAGUGUUGUGGACUGACACUUACGCUGGGGUGACAGUGCGGGAGUAGAAAGGAGGGGUUGAGAGUCGUGGAGUC